GGUAACCUGCCCAGAAGCGGGGGACAACAUUUGGAAACAGAUGCUAAUACCGCAUAACAACGUUGUUCGCAUGAACAACGCUUAAAAGAUGGCUUCUCGCUAUCACUUCUGGAUGGACCUGCGGUGCAUUAGCUUGUUGGUGGGGUAACGGCCUACCAAGGCGAUGAUGCAUAGCCGAGUUGAGAGACUGAUCGGCCACAAUGGGACUGAGACACGGCCCAUACUCCUACGGGAGGCAGCAGUAGGGAAUCUUCCACAAUGGGCGCAAGCCUGAUGGAGCAACACCGCGUGAGUGAAGAAGGGUUUCGGCUCGUAAAGCUCUGUUGUUAAAGAAGAACACGUAUGAGAGUAACUGUUCAUACGUUGACGGUAUUUAACCAGAAAGUCACGGCUAACUACGUGCCAGCAGCCGCGGUAAUACGUAGGUGGCAAGCGUUAUCCGGAUUUAUUGGGCGUAAAGAGAGUGCAGGCGGUUUUCUAAGUCUGAUGUGAAAGCCUUCGGCUUAACCGGAGAAGUGCAUCGGAAACUGGAUAACUUGAGUGCAGAAGAGGGUAGUGGAACUCCAUGUGUAGCGGUGGAAUGCGUAGAUAUAUGGAAGAACACCAGUGGCGAAGGCGGCUACCUGGUCUGCAACUGACGCUGAGACUCGAAAGCAUGGGUAGCGAACAGGAUUAGAUACCCUGGUAGUCCAUGCCGUAAACGAUGAGUGCUAGGUGUUGGAGGGUUUCCGCCCUUCAGUGCCGGAGCUAACGCAUUAAGCACUCCGCCUGGGGAGUACGACCGCAAGGUUGAAACUCAAAGGAAUUGACGGGGGCCCGCACAAGCGGUGGAGCAUGUGGUUUAAUUCGAAGCUACGCGAAGAACCUUACCAGGUCUUGACAUCUUGCGCCAACCCUAGAGAUAGGGCGUUUCCUUCGGGAACGCAAUGACAGGUGGUGCAUGGUCGUCGUCAGCUCGUGUCGUGAGAUGUUGGGUUAAGUCCCGCAACGAGCGCAACCCUUGUUACUAGUUGCCAGCAUUAAGUUGGGCACUCUAGUGAGACUGCCGGUGACAAACCGGAGGAAGGUGGGGACGACGUCAGAUCAUCAUGCCCCUUAUGACCUGGGCUACACACGUGCUACAAUGGACGGUACAACGAGUCGCGAACUCGCGAGGGCAAGCAAAUCUCUUAAAACCGUUCUCAGUUCGGACUGCAGGCUGCAACUCGCCUGCA
rnacentral:rRNA from 1 species